rnacentral:rRNA from 1 species
GACGAACGCUGGCGGCGUGCUUAACACAUGCAAGUCAAGGGGGCCCGCAAGGGUAACCGGCGAACGGGUGCGUAACACGUGAGCAAUCUGCCUCGAUGUGGGGGAUAGCCGGCCCAACGGCCGGGUAAUACCGCAUACGCUCUCUGGGUGGCAUCACUUGGAGAGGAAACAUUUUUGGCAUUGAGAGGAGCUCGCGGCCUAUCAGCUAGUUGGUGGGGUAAUGGCCUACCAAGGCUUUGACGGGUAGCUGGUCUGAGAGGAUGGCCAGCCACAUUGGGACUGAGAUACGGCCCAGACUCCUACGGGAGGCAGCAGUGGGGAAUAUUGCGCAAUGGCCGAAAGGCUGACGCAGCGACGCCGCGUGGGGGGAUGAAGCAUUCGGUGUGUAAACCCCUGUUGCCCGGGACGAACAACUGGUUUGUACCAGUCUGACGGUACCGGGUGGAGGAAGCACCGGCUAACUCCGUGCCAGCAGCCGCGGUAA